rnacentral:rRNA from 1 species
GACGAACCGUGCGAACGUUAUUCGGAAUCACUGGGCUUAAAGCGCGUGUAGGCGGCCCGGCACGUCGGACGCUGAAAUCCCCCGGCUCAACCGGGGAACGGGCGCCGAUACGACCGGGCUGGAGGGGGGUAGGGGGCGCCGGAACUUCCGGUGGAGCGGUGAAAUGCGUUGAGAUCGGAGGAACGCCCGUGGCGAAAGCGGGCGCCUGGACCCCACCUGGCGCUGAGACGCGAAAGCCAGGGGAGCGAACGGG